rnacentral:rRNA from 1 species
CAGUCGCCGCGGUAAUACGGAGGGUGCAGGCGUUAUCCGGAUUCACUGGGUUUAAAGGGUGCGUAGGCGGGCAGGUAAGUCAGUGGUGAAAUCUUCGAGCUUAACUCGGAAACUGCCGUUGAUACUAUCUGUCUUGAAUAACGUUGAGGUGAGCGGAAUAUGUCAUGUAGCGGUGAAAUGCUUAGAUAUGACAUAGAACACCGAUUGCGAAGGCAGCUCACUAAACGCUCAUUGACGCUGAGGCACGAAAGCGUGGGGAUCAAACAGGAUUAGAUACCCCAGUAGUCCCUGUCUCUUAUAC